rnacentral:lncRNA from 1 species
AUGGCGCCUGUGCAGUGUAGGUCUUCCAGGUAUGGGAAGAACAGCACAGUGCUCGGCCUCUCUCUCGGGGCAAAGGCUGGCUCCAGGCUCGCCAGUGCAGUCACUCCCUCUUCAGCAUGUGCGGGGACUCCAUUUCCCAGCCUUCCAAACGGUACGAUUAGAGUCUGGUCACUGGAUUCUAGAACAGGUCUGACCCUGAAUCUCAUCGCGCAAUCUUCCACUUGUUCUCUCACCAUUCAUGAGAGAGGACAUCAAGGACUCCUGGUGGCCGGAGUCUGCAGCCCCCCUGGGCCAGGAGACCUCAGGCCUACCCCGGACCUAAACACGGGCAAGACAGAAUGGCAAGCUUGGGGAUACAGAGUCCACAGCACCCAAGCCCACGAUGGAUCUGCCUGUGACACGCAAGGCUGUCACCUACCACGUUUUUCACAGACCAACAACCGACAGACACCUCCUAGCAAAUCCCAUCCCCCCAGCAGGUGGCAGGAAAUGGAAGCACCUAAAGAGAGCCCAGCCAGGAAAGACAACCCUCUUCUCGUGCAGUCUCCAGACAGGACAAGUAAGAAGCAAUUUUGCAAAACAAUAACCUUCAAGGGUUGCGAUCUCUAUGUACUUCUGUUCUUCGGAGGCAGAACGUGUUCUGCCAUCAUGUUUUCCCUGGAGAAAAAAAUACCCCAUCCAUUUCUACAAGUGCUAGCAAAUCACACACAUGUAUUUUGUUUCUUGUCAUUCUGUAAGCUGCUCAGGAACCAAUAAAUAAUGUAUGUAUUUAAUGCAUUAAUCAUCUAUCCUGUAUAUCUGUACACCGCACACACACACACACACACACACGUGCUCUCCGGUGCUUGUGUCAAAGCUAUCUUCUCUAUUAGUGGAAAAUAAACAACAUCUUGGGUUUCCCA